UGAAUUAUGACAUAACCUCGAAAGAGCUUUUGUUCCCAUCGAUUAACGCCAUUUAAAUGCAGACGGGACGAGUCUGUAAAAGGAAUGUGAUUCAAUUAUUUUAUCUGAAUUUAAUGGAAAUUCAUAUGCUUUAUUAUUCUAAGCAUUUAUCAUCCGUCGAUAAAUGGUAGUUUCUCAGCAAUCGCCGAACGGUGGAGCCACUUAGUGCGUCGCGUAGUCGCGUAGGAGGCCCUAUGGGAUAAUUAUUAUUCCGAAAUCUUAAUUACAUUAGCAAAAAAAAAACAAAAUAGGAAAACGUCGUUGCUGAAGUUUGGAACGAUGACGAGAAAGUUUAAAGAAAUGGCACUUGCGGUGAACAAAUAGCCCCAAUAAAAAUUGGACUCUUGCAGUCGACAUGCAAUUAUCUACAAUUGUUAUAUUUCAACCGCGGCAAGAAAAAAUUUCUCGUGUCAGUGAAGGCGUACCAACAUUUUUCUAUCAAGAGAAUCAAUGUUUUUAAACUAUGGCGUCGUCAUCGCAACAGCUAAUGAUCGGUCGAAAAAUAAACAUCCACGACGAAUAAAUGAUAGAAUAAUCGACGAGUAAUGCAUAUUUGAAAGGUUUCAAAACUGGAAUUCCUUUGAAUAGAUGUAAUCACGGAAAUUCAAUGGAAAAAAGGACGGAAGAUUGAGGCUUUUAUGGGUCCGACUAAUCGUUCCUGGUGCUGUUCCCGGGAGACCUUCUCGGCUGCCCGCAGCCGCUGAUACACAUUAAUGCAUCGCAUUUGAACGAGGGUCUGGACUCUGGAAAACCCGAUCGGUAGAAGGCCCUUAAUUUUCCUCAGUUUCGAGUGCUCGGGGUCUCCGGAUACUCGGAGAAAAAAUAGAAAAAUUGCCUUCGUCCCGACCGUUCGGGCACGAGCCGGUGCGAGGCUGAGCGGUCACCCAUCCGGGUACUGAUCUCGCCCACUGCUGCUUAACUCGUGAGGUCGCUGGAAUCAUGCACCGGCCAAACGUCUAGCACUCAAAAUUUUGCUAAUAAUUCAUUUUACUAUGUGACAAUGAAAUAACGAGAAAAAAAUUCUUGGAAGAAAUAUAAAACGUGAAAAUGUAAUAAUUGUUUGCGGUGACACAUUCCGCGAUGAAAUUUCAAAUCUACCGAAAUUUCGAGGAUCAAUGAUGCAGACCGUGGAGCAACUUUUUUUUCAAGUGCUUCGGGAAACGUGAUUUUUAAUGCUCUAAUAUUGGAGAAAAAAUGAACCCCGUUUAUGCACUGCUCGACGUAUUUAAGGCGUUGCUGAAUGAAAAUAUGAAAAAAUUGGAAGAGCACUGCUCGAGUCGAGGCUGGUCGAGCCGAGGGGAAGAAAAAUGGAGAAAAUUGUUCUGGAAUAUUUUUAGGACAUGCGACGACAAGGAGAGCUCGAUGAACCUCCUUCGAAGUUGUACUUACUGAUAA